GACGAACGCUGGCGGCGUGCCUAAUACAUGCAAGUCGAGCGAAGUUUUUCUGGUGCUUGCACUAGAAAAACUUAGCGGCGAACGGGUGAGUAACACGUAAAGAACCUGCCUCAUAGACUGGGACAACUAUUGGAAACGAUAGCUAAUACCGGAUAACAGUAUUUCUCGCAUGAGAGAUAUUUAAAAGUUGGUUAUGCUAACACUAUGAGAUGGCUCUGCGGUGCAUUAGCUAGUUGGUGGGGUAAAGGCCCACCAAGGCGACGAUGCAUAGCCGACCUGAGAGGGUGAUCGGCCACACUGGGACUGAGACACGGCCCAGACUCCUACGGGAGGCAGCAGUAGGGAAUCUUCCGCAAUGGGCGAAAGCCUGACGGAGCAACGCCGCGUGAGUGAAGAAGGAUUUCGGUUCGUAAAGCUCUGUUGUUAGGGAAGAAUGGAUAUGUAGUAACUAUACAUGUAAGAGACGGUACCUAACCAGAAAGCCACGGCUAACUACGUGCCAGCAGCCGCGGUAAUACGUAGGUGGCAAGCGUUGUCCGGAAUUAUUGGGCGUAAAGCGCGCGCAGGUGGUUUAAUAAGUCUGAUGUGAAAGCCCACGGCUCAACCGUGGAGGGUCAUUGGAAACUGUUAAACUUGAGUGCAGGAGAGAAAAGUGGAAUUCCUAGUGUAGCGGUGAAAUGCGUAGAGAUUAGGAGGAACACCAGUGGCGAAGGCGGCUUUUUGGCCUGUAACUGACACUGAGGCGCGAAAGCGUGGGGAGCAAACGGG
rnacentral:rRNA from 1 species